GACGGCUCUGCGGGGAGGACCGCGCCUCCCCGAAUGCGGCCGCUGCUGCCGCUGCAAACAGUGCCUUGAGGAGAGGAAAGCGGGGAACCGUGUUUUCGCCGCCUCUGUAACCACUGCACACAAGAAAACCAGCUUCUGGGAGAGGGGGAUGAUUGUUGGGACUUUGCGAAUUACCUAAACAGCCCAGGGCCGAGGCGCCGCCGCUCGCGUCCUGGUCCUCCUGCCGGGUGUGGGGCUCCCCUGCCCGAGAUGGCCAGCGGGCGCGCCGAGAGUAUCCUGGAGCCAUCUAGUCUUGCCUCGGAGGCGGGGUGGGCUUAUUUGUGCGGAGAAGAAACGGAUCUCUUAAUGGGGUGAGAUUUUUCCUCCGUACAUUGUUCCCAUUUCCGCAGUUUCACUUGGCCUCGGUUUUCUAGCAGAGUAAUCACCAAAUGAAAUUAGCUGGAGAGCGUUUGAUGGCGCAGAAUCACGGUCUGAAGAUGUUUACGCUGUAUGCCGGACGCGUUUGAUGGUGUUCUCUUCGGCACAAUUAAUUUUGCAAAGUUCAGAAAUGUGCCAGACAGAGCCCCUGGCACGCAGUCAGGACUCUACAGACACACCUUGAGUAGGAAACAGGCUUGUUUGUUUCAUCUGUGAUUUAUGUGAUGCACCAGCACCAAGGCCAACGUGUUUUUUAAAGACCUUUCGAUGAAACUCCAAAGCAAUUUAUAAAUUGGCAAAAUGAAGCUUGUUUUGUAAAAUAACUCUUCCUUGUUGAUCAUGUAAUUAAAUGGGCAACAAAACACCUGAAAGGACAUUUACUGAAAAGUAGACUCCCAAAACAAAAAUAUGUAUUUCACAGCUAGAUACGGUCGCUAUUAGCGUCCUAAUGGCCAACUCCAUCCAUGUGCGUAUUUUGAACACUAAAAACGCCUCCUGUUACCCCUAAGACCUUGUUUGGAUAACAUUUUUCUAUUAUAAGUACUCGAAACCAACCCCAUUUAAGAUGUUUACCCUUAUUCUUGAGUCCUUGAUGGUUUGGGAAAUUUAUCAUUAUUCAUAUUGCACAAUCCUGUCACUGUCUUUUCCAUUAGGCACAGUGCCUAAGGUCCACAAUAUUUUUAGAGGCCCACAAAAAAUAUUUUAAUUUCUUUUCAAAUCAGAAGGAAAAAAAAUUUAGGUUUAAGAAAGUAUUUUAAUAUAUAUUAAUAUAUUUGUUUUUGUGCUAAUACAAUCUUAAAAUGUAUGUAUAUAUGUGUGUGUGUAUAUGUAUAUAUAUUUUAAUGGAGUAAGGGGCUCAACGAAGGCAAAAAGGCCUAGAGCCCAAGAAAAACAUGAUGUGGCCCUGUUGCCUGGGGUUGAAAAAUCCCAUUCCAUGAGAAGAAUUUAGUUUUAAGAAUAUUACAUAAAAUGCUCAUUUCUGUGGCCUUGCUAUAAUAGAAAGAUGGAGAUUCAGAGUAGUGAUAAUGGCUAACAUCCACCUGAUACACACCAUGUGUCCAUUACCUCUUAAUCCUCACAGCACACCUGUGAAAUAGGUACUAUUCUCACACUUAGGGGGUAAUGCAGGUUUUGUGGGGCCUGCAAUUUAUGCAAUUUGGGUGGUCCUCUUAAAGAAAAAGCAAAUACUGUGUAUUAGUCCGUUCUCACACUGCUAUAAAGAACUGCGCGAGACUGGGUAAUUUAUAAAGGAAAGAGGUUUAAUUGACUCACAGUUCCACAUGGCUGGGGAGACCUCAGGAAACUUAACAAUCGUGGUGGAAGGAGAAGCAAGUACCUUCUUCACAAGGAAGCGGAAAGAAUUGUGAGCGGAGGAACUUGCCAAACACAAAACCGUCAGAUCGCGUGAGAAUUCAGUUACUAUCACGAGAACAACACGGGAAAACUGUCCCCAUAAUCAAGUCAUUUCUCUCCCUAACAAGUGAGGAUUACAAUUCAAGAUGAGGUUUGGGUAGGAACACAAAGCCUGACCCUAUCCCACAGCAUGUCCAGGCUGCCCUAGCACCACCCAAUAGAAGGGAAAAUGGCAGAGGGAAAGUCCUAGUGGAAAGAGACCUCAGUCUCAGCUAAUUGUGGUGACAAUAUAUUGCUUUUGCAAAUUGUACAUAAACAUAUGACCAGGUGAAUGUAUCGCCAAGGCUCCUGCCAAGGCCUGGGAUGGAGGCCUAGAGAAGAUGCCCGAAAGUUUAUGCUGUGUGAGCUUCACAGAAGACCUGCCUUCCAUGUAUACCCAUUUUACAGGUGUCUGUGCGGUGCAGAAACUGUACAACUGUAUACAGUGACCAUUUCUACUCUGGGUCUCUAAACAAGGGCUGGUAUCGUUACAGAGACUGAAGACUGAGGAAGACCAUCUCUGUAGGAUGCCAAGGAUUGACUGGAGAAAGUCUGGGUUGGAGAAGAAUGAAGUGCACAUCAACCAAACAGAAGAGAAGCAAUUUGGAGGAGGAAAAAAUCAGUUCUUCAUGAAAGGAUCACAUUGAUCUUGAUCAGGAAUUUAGGAGCAGCUUACCUAAUGGCACCUGGUUACCUAAUGGCACCCUCAACAGCUUACCUAAUGGCACCCUCACUUGGUUCUGGCUCCGGGCCUCUCACAAGAUUGUACACAUGAUGAUGGCCAAGUUUGCAGUCAUCUGAAGUCUUGACUGGAGCUGGAGACUACAUUUCCAAGAUGGCUCACUCAUAUUGCUAGUAAGUUGGUGGUGUCUGUUGGCAAGAAACCCCAAUUCCUGGUCAUAUGAAUCUUUCCAUAGGGCUGUGAUGAGAGUCCUCAUAACAGGGCAGCUGGUUUACCCCUAAGCAAAUAAUCCAAGAGAGAGAAACGCAGAAGCCACAAUGUCUUUUGUGACCCAACCUUGGGAGCCACAUACCAUCAUUUCUACAA
rnacentral:lncRNA from 1 species